rnacentral:rRNA from 1 species
UGCGUAACGCGUAUGCAACCUGCCAUCAACAGGGGGAUAACACUGAGAAAUUGGUACUAAUACCCCAUAAUAUCUCAUGCGGCAUCGCAUGGGGUUGAAAACUCCGGUGGUUGAUGAUGGGCAUGCGUUGUAUUAGCUGGUUGGUGAGGUAACGGCUCACCAAGGCGACGAUACAUAGGGGGACUGAGAGGUUAACCCCCCACAUUGGUACUGAGACACGGACCAAACUCCUACGGAAGGCAGCAG